AGUGAACGCUGGCGGUAGGCCUAACACAUGCAAGUCGAACGGCAGCACAGUAAGAGCUUGCUCUUACGGGUGGCGAGUGGCGGACGGGUGAGGAAUACAUCGGAAUCUACUUUUUCGUGGGGGAUAACGUAGGGAAACUUACGCUAAUACCGCAUACGACCUACGGGUGAAAGCAGGGGAUCUUCGGACCUUGCGCGAUUGAAUGAGCCGAUGUCGGAUUAGCUAGUUGGCGGGGUAAAGGCCCACCAAGGCGACGAUCCGUAGCUGGUCUGAGAGGAUGAUCAGCCACACUGGAACUGAGACACGGUCCAGACUCCUACGGGAGGCAGCAGUGGGGAAUAUUGGACAAUGGGCGCAAGCCUGAUCCAGCCAUACCGCGUGGGUGAAGAAGGCCUUCGGGUUGUAAAGCCCUUUUGUUGGGAAAGAAGAGCAGCAGGUUAAUACCCCGCUGUUCUGACGGUACCCAAAGAAUAAGCACCGGCUAACUUCGCG
rnacentral:rRNA from 1 species